GGGUUGUGAGGUUAAGCGACUAAGCGUACACGGUGGAUGCCCUGGCAGUCAGAGGCGAUGAAGGACGUGCUAAUCUGCGAUAAGCGUCGGUAAGGUGAUAUGAACCGUUAUAACCGGCGAUUUCCGAAUGGGGAAACCCAGUGUGUUUCGACACACUAUCAUUAACUGAAUCCAUAGGUUAAUGAGGCGAACCGGGGGAACUGAAACAUCUAAGUACCCCGAGGAAAAGAAAUCAACCGAGAUUCCCCCAGUAGCGGCGAGCGAACGGGGAGCAGCCCAGAGCCUGAAUCAGUGUGUGUGUUAGUGGAAGCGUCUGGAAAGGCGCGCGAUACAGGGUGACAGCCCCGUACACAAAAAUGCACAUGCUGUGAGCUCGAUGAGUAGGGCGGGACACGUGGUAUCCUGUCUGAAUAUGGGGGGACCAUCCUCCAAGGCUAAAUACUCCUGACUGACCGAUAGUGAACCAGUACCGUGAGGGAAAGGCGAAAAGAACCCCGGCGAGGGGAGUGAAAAAGAACCUGAAACCGUGUACGUACAAGCAGUGGGAGCACGCUUAGGCGUGUGACUGCGUACCUUUUGUAUAAUGGGUCAGCGACUUAUAUUCUGUAGCAAGGUUAACCGAAUAGGGGAGCCGAAGGGAAACCGAGUCUUAACUGGGCGUUAAGUUGCAGGGUAUAGACCCGAAACCCGGUGAUCUAGCCAUGGGCAGGUUGAAGGUUGGGUAACACUAACUGGAGGACCGAACCGACUAAUGUUGAAAAAUUAGCGGAUGACUUGUGGCUGGGGGUGAAAGGCCAAUCAAACCGGGAGAUAGCUGGUUCUCCCCGAAAGCUAUUUAGGUAGCGCCUCGUGAAUUCAUCUCCGGGGGUAG
rnacentral:rRNA from 1 species